rnacentral:tRNA from 1 species
AGAAGUAUAGUUAAAUAUAAUAUUAGUUUUGCGUACUAAAGGUACUAUUUGUUAUAGUUAUUUCUA